UACGUAGGGUGCAAGCGUUGUCCGGAAUUAUUGGGCGUAAAGAGCUCGUAGGCGGUUCGUCGCGUCGGCUGUGAAAACCUGAGGCUCAACCUCAGGCCUGCAGUCGAUACGGGCGGACUUGAGUACUGCAGGGGAGACUGGAAUUCCUGGUGUAGCGGUGAAAUGCGCAGAUAUCAGGAGGAACACCGGUGGCGAAGGCGGGUCUCUGGGCCGUAACUGACGCUGAGGAGCGAAGGCGUGGGGAGCGAACAGG
rnacentral:rRNA from 1 species